AAACAUAGCUUAAUGUAAAAUAAUAUUAAGUUUUUCCUGCCCAGUGAAUUUAUCAGUUUUAACGGCCGCAGUACUUUGACUGUGCUAAGGUAGCAUAAUAAUUUGGUUUUUAAUUGGAAUCUGGAAUGAAUGGAUAUACAUGAUAAUAGCUGUCUUUAUAGUUAAGCUUUUAAUUUUCUUAUUAGGUGAAAAUUCCUAAAUUAAUAUAUUAGACGAGAAGACCCUUAGAGUUUAACUACCUUUUGUUGGGGCGACAAGAUAACAAAAAAACUUAUCUAUUUUAAAAAAUACUAGACAUUUUUUAAUAAGAAUGACUAAACUACCUAAGGGAUAACAGCAUAAUUUUAAUUAGUUAGAUUAUGACCUCGAUGUUGGAUUAGGGAAAAUAUUUACUAACAGUAAAUAUUUUUUGUUCUGUUCGAACUUUUCACCCCUACGUGAUCUGA
rnacentral:rRNA from 1 species